rnacentral:misc_RNA from 1 species
UGUGAAUAGUGAAUACUGGGUGCUGAAAACUUAAACUUUUCUAACCUUAAGUACUAAAUGUUAAAAGAUCAAACUGAAUAGUAAAAUGUCUUAAUGUUAUAAAAAACUUAUAAAAUGACUGAAUGUAGUGAAUCUUCGUCGAAACAAGCCAGUACAGUUGUAUUAACCGAGCAUGAACGAGACCUCGCACAAAAUGCCUUAUUAGAAUUUCAAAAAAAGUCAUACACCACUUGCUUAACAUAUUUAAAUAAACUGGAAUUAUUGAGGCCUAAGGAUUUACAAGUCAUACACAAUAAAAUAGUUGUUGAGUAUUAUAAAUGUGAUUUUAAAAAAACAGAACUAGCGAGAAAAACUUUGAAUGCUGUUUGUGGUAACCCAGUUCUUACUGAUGCACCACAAGAUACAUCCGAAGAUGUUGAAAAAUGUGUUAUACGAUAUAAUCAAGCCGUUCUACAUUACCAUACACGACAAUACGAAGCUGCACUCCAAAUUCUUAAUAGACUUUUUACAUUUGUAGAAGCAAUGGAAGAAAAUUUGGCAUGGAAAGUUUGCUUACUCUUAAUUGAACUUUAUAUUCAAACAAAUCGGCUUGAUGCAACUCUAUCAUUAAUAAACUACGUUGAGAGUCAAUUUAUCUGUUCAUCUGAAACGAUAAAAUCAUCAUCAUCUGGUGAUAAUUUGAAUCCAACAAAGACAGCAUCAGUAUCAAAAGAAACAAAAAUACAAAAAAAAGAUAAUACUGAUUCUCAGAAUGACUUGUUUCGUAUAAAAUUACUAAAAUACAAAGCACGAAUUUAUCUGCUUUUACGUCAACCAAAACUAUGUCAAAAAGAAUGGGAUACAAUGUUGUUAGUUGGUGCUCCACAAACAACAUCAACAAUUUUUUUGAAAGCCCAUUAUGAAUAUGUACUUGGUAAUUAUGAUAAAUCAAUAAAAUUAUUAAAUUCAGCCACAGAUAAUUUAGAUUACAAAUUAUGUGGUGGAUCAGCAGCAGUUAUUUAUUACAACAAUAUGGCCUGUAUUAAUUAUUCUCGUUCAAAGCCAAAUUUAGCGGCAUUUUAUUUGGAAAAAGCAUUAGAAGAAAAUAAAAAGUCAAUUGAAUCAAUUCGUGGUAAAGAGACAGAUAAAGAUCCAUUAUCAUCACAACCAGUGUAUACACUUGGUGGUGAUAAACAUCACGAACUGAUGUUUAGUUUAGGUAUUUCACUUUUACAAGCUGGACAAGCAACUAGAGCAUUCGAUUGUUUUCUUGAAGCAGCCCAAAGACUCCAAAAUAAUCCAAUUCUAUGGCUCAAACUUGCUGAAUGUUGUGUCUAUUGUCACAAACCAACCAAUGAAGUUGAUUUUGAUGUCAUAAAGUUUCGAGAUUGCUUGGUUCAAAAAGUCAUAGGAAAUGGUAACAAUAAAAAAAUUAUAUUAUCAUCUGGAUUGAAUACUGACACAAAAUAUCAUUGCGAGAGCUUGUCGUAUGCAAUACCACAACCAACAAUUGAAUUUGCCAUGUUGUGCCUUAAAAAUGCACUGUUUGCUUUGCCAAAAAAAGAAAAUAUGCAAUGUCCAUCAUCAAGUUUAAGUGGUUUACCAUUUAAUUCAUCAGUUAAUUUAUCCAGUGGCAAUACAAGUGGUUUACGAGGAUCAAUUGGAAGCUCAGCACCACCUUGUGGUAUUGUUAGUACGCAUCCAUCAAUGUCUAUCAUACCAAUUACGUCGCAUGCAACAUGGAUUGAAGUGAUGAAUCUUAAAAUUGCGAUACUUGCUGCAUCAUCAUAUGUAUCACUUUGUCUUGGUGAUUAUACGGUUGCAUUCGAACAUGCAAAAACAUUAUUAAAAAUUGAAAAAAUACCAGGAUCUUUUCGAUUUGGAUUUGUCAAUUGAUAUGCUUGAUGUUGAUAGUGAGCAAAAUAAUGAUUGUAAUGUUAAUGUAUUUGCUUUUAAACACAAAUGGUUUCCAAGAAGUCUAAGAACAGCCAAUGCAGUGAUGCGGUAUAAUUUAGCGGUUGCUUACGCAAUAAGAGGAGAACUCGAUAAAUCAGGAGAAACACUAAAACAAGUUUA